CCAUCUUUAACCACAACACUCACUUCCAGUUGUCAGCAACAAUGUGAGCCAAAUCCACAACCCUCUGCGAGUAACCCCACUCAUUAUCAUACCAUGCAAUCACCUUAACCAUAUCAUCACCCAUCACCAAAGUCAACGAUGAGUCAACCGUCGACGACACAUCAGAGCAUCGGAAGUCAACAGACACCAGGGGCUCAUCACACACCGAGAGGAUUCCCUUGAGCUCCCCAUCAGCACUCUCCCUGAAUGCAGCAUUAACUUCCUCAGCAAAAGUCUUCUUCGAGACUUGGACAACAAGGUCGACGACAGAGACGUUGGGGGUGGGGACACGGAGGGCAAUUCCGUUGAGCUUGCCCUUGAGGGAGGGGAGGACCAGAGCCACGGCUUUGGCAGCACCGGUGGAGGUUGGGACAAUGUUGAGAGCGGCAGCACGGGCACGACGGAGAUCACGGUGGCUGGCGUCGAGGAGACGCUGGUCGCCAGUGUAGGAGUGGGUGGUGGUCAUGGUUCCCUUGAUGAUACCGAACUUCUGGUCGAGGACCUUGACGAAGGGGGCGAGACAGUUGGUGGUGCAUGAGGCGUUGCUGAUGAUGGUGUCGUCAGGACUGUACUGGUCGGCGUUGACACCGACGACAUAGGUGGGGAUGUCACCCUUGCCAGGGGCUGUGAUCAGCACCUUCUUUGCUCCGGCCUGAAGGUGCUUUCCAGCACCCUCACGGUCUACGAAUACACCGGUUCCCUCGAUCACCAAGUCGAUACCUAAUUCACUCCAUGGAAGGUUGGCGGGGUUACGGUUGGAGACUACCUGGAUGGGCUUGCCAUCUACAGAGAUCACAUUGUCGCCGAUAGGUUUGACAUCAGCAUCAAAUAUGCCGAGGGUGGAGUCAUAUUUGAGGAGGUGGGAGGCUUGCUUGACACCGCCGGUGUCGUUGAUGGCGAUGAUCUCGAGGGGAGAGUCCUUGCGGCCGUGCCAGCACCGGAGGAAGUUGCGACCAAUGCGGCCGAACCCGUUGAUGGCCACCUUGAUCUUUGCCUCUGCCGGUCCCUUCCUGUACCCGCUGCUCACUGAGACCGCGGAUGUCUUGCAGGCGACCAUGGAGAGGAAGUCAUCUGAUGAGAUCUUCCUCGAUAUGGGAAGGGAAGAUGAGCUCCUCAGACCAGAGAAUUCUGAUAGCCCCGUACGAUUCCUCUGAAGGGAGGCAUUGGCUACCCGC
rnacentral:misc_RNA from 1 species